rnacentral:SRP_RNA from 1 species
GCCAGGCGUGGUGGCGCACACCUGUAAUCCCAGCUACUGGGAGGCUGAGACAGGAGAGUCGCUUGAACCCUGGAGGCAGAUCUUGCAGUGAGCCAAGAUCAUGCACUGCACUCCAGCCUGGGUGACAGAGCGAGACUCUGUCUCAA